AGGAAGCUCAGUUUAAAACCAAAGCAGGCUUAGUUUCACGUUUUGUAGCCCUUCUGCACAACAGCAACUGUGAAUCUACUUGAUCCUGUACCCGGAAGAAGAGCUUAUCAUAAAGUACAGCUUCCACUUAAAGGCUGGAGAACGAGCUGUGAUGUGGAAAUCCACUGUCACCUCCCCACGUGCCAUGCCUCGCCCUGGGAACUGUGCGAGGAGUUCCGUGGUGUUGGGACAAACGUCUUUGGCCACCCAAGCUGCUUUUAUGGGUUUCUACGUUUUGGAGCCUAGAAGGACCAAGAGGUGUUGGGAACAGGGAAUGAGAAUGGCCGGCCGGCCAAGCCAGAUCUUUUGCAGCUGGAAGAGGAAAGGAUUCAAACUGCUGAGCAAAUAGAGAAGAAAUAAAGAAGGGACUAUCUGA